CUGCAAUGGCAAUAUUACAGACAUCUAUACUGCCUGUACCCUUGCACCCGCCUGUUAUUUGACUGCUGCUUACCAGUCACCCAUGUGUGAAAUACACAUAUGGACCAGCAAUCACAGAAAAAGCCUGGGAAAUAUGAUGCCUUUGUUCACUGAAACAUGAAAUGUCAUUAUAAGAUGCCCUCCAAACCUGAAGAGAAAGUCCUGCAGGAAAUCAAAGGUUGGAAUUAAAUGACAUGGAGGCUUUGUGACAAGGCUAAACUGUUGCUACUAACAACGCAAAAGAAUCGAAGAUGCAUAGGUG